GACGAACGCUGGCGGCGUGCUUAACACAUGCAAGUCGAACGGAAAGGCCCUGCUUUUGUGGGGUGCUCGAGUGGCGAACGGGUGAGCAACACGUGAGUAACCUGCCCUUGACUUUGGGAUAACUUCAGGAAACUGGGGCUAAUACCGGAUAGGAGCUCCUGCUGCAUGGUGGGGGUUGGAAAGUUUCGGCGGUUGGGGAUGGACUCGCGGCUUAUCAGCUUGUUGGUGGGGUAGUGGCUUACCAAGGCUUUGACGGGUAGCCGGCCUGAGAGGGUGACCGGCCACAUUGGGACUGAGAUACGGCCCAGACUCCUACGGGAGGCAGCAGUGGGGAAUAUUGCACAAUGGGCGGAAGCCUGAUGCAGCAACGCCGCGUGCGGGAUGACGGCCUUCGGGUUGUAAACCGCUUUCGCCUGUGACGAAGCGUGAGUGACGGUAAUGGGUAAAGAAGCACCGGCUAACUACGUGCCAGCAGCCGCGGCGAUACGUAGGGUGCGAGCGUUGUCCGGAUUUAUUGGGCGUAAAGGGCUCGUAGGUGGUUGAUCGCGUCGGAAGUGUAAUCUUGGGGCUUAACCCUGAGCGUGCUUUCGAUACGGGUUGACUUGAGGAAGGUAGGGGAGAAUGGAAUUCCUGGUGGAGCGGUGGAAUGCGCAGAUAUCAGGAGGAACACCAGUGGCGAAGGCGGUUCUCUGGGCCUUUCCUGACGCUGAGGAGCGAAAGCGUGGGGAGCGAACAGGCUUAGAUACCCUGGUAGUCCACGCUGUAAACGGUGGGUACUAGGUGUGGGGUCCAUUCCACGGGUUCCGUGCCGUAGCUAACGCUUUAAGUACCCCGCCUGGGGAGUACGGCCGCAAGGCUAAAACUCAAAGGAAUUGGCGGGGCCCCGCACAAGCGGCGGAGCAUGCGGAUUAAUUCGAUGCAACGCGUGGAACCUUACCUGGGUUUGACAUGGAUCGGGAGUGCUCAGAGAUGGGUGUGCCUCUUUUGGGGUCGGUUCACAGGUGGUGCAUGCCUGUCGUCAGCUCGUGUCGUGAGAUGUUGGGUUAAGUCCCGCAACGAGCGCAACCCUUGUUCACUGUUGCCAGCACGUUAUGGUGGGGACUCAGUGGAGACCGCCGGGGUCAACUCGGAGGAAGGUGGGGAUGACGUCAAGUCCUCAUGCCCCUUAUGUCCAGGGCUUCACGCAUGCUACAAUGGCUGGUACAGAGAGUGGCGAGCCUGUGAGGGUGAGCGAAUCUCGGAAAGCCGGUCUCAGUUCGGAUUGGGGUCUGCAACUCGACCUCAUGAAGUCGGAGUCGCUAGUAAUCGCAGAUCAGCAACGCUGCGGUGAAUACGUUCCCGGG
rnacentral:rRNA from 1 species